ACGACCUUACUUGAACAGGAUUUGUUCUAUAGGAUCGUACUACUGUGUCCUUGAUUUCUGAGGAGAUAGGAACAAACGUCUGGUGGAUGAAUCAUGACCGGGUGAUCAGAGCGUGAUUAACGGCUAUGAUGAUCUGCAUCUUGUGCUCAUCAUCCGCAGCUGUAGAUGAUCGUUCUCAGCCAGUGUAAAACUGGCUGGGGUGGUCACAAGGUGUUCUGACAGACU